AAAUUGAAGAGUUUGAUCAUGGCUCAGAUUGAACGCUGGCGGCAGGCCUAACACAUGCAAGUCGAACGGUAACAGGAAGCAGCUUGCUGCUUUGCUGACGAGUGGCGGACGGGCGAGUAAUGUCUGGGAAACUGCCUGAUGGAGGGGGAUAACUACUGGAAACGGUAGCUAAUACCGCAUAACGGCGCAAGACCAAAGAGGGGGACCUUCGGGCCUCUUGCCAUCGGAUGUGCCCAGAUGGGAUUAGCUAGGAGGUGGGGUAACGGCUCAACUAGGCGACGAU
rnacentral:rRNA from 1 species